rnacentral:rRNA from 1 species
AACCUGCCUUUGAGAAGGGGAUAACUGUCCGAAAGGAUAGCUAAUACCCUAUAUUGCCUUUUGUCACUAAGGCAAAAAGUGAAAGCGAGGCUGUCAAAGGCUUCGGCUCAAAGAGGGGUUCGCGUCCUAUCAGGUAGUUGGUGGGGUAAUGGCCUACCAAGCCAAUGACGGGUAGCUGGUCUUAGAGGAUGAUCAGCCACAGUGGGACUGAGACACGGCCCGCACCCCUACGGGGGGCAGCAGUGGGGAAUCGUGGGCAAUGGGCGCAAGCCUGACCCCGCAAUGCCGCGUGAGGGAAGAAGCCCUUCGGGGUGUAAACCUCUGUCAGAUGGAAAGAUGGGACUAGGGGCUAAUACCUCCUGGUCUUGACGGUACCAUCAGAGGAAGGGACGGCUA